GUGCCAGCCGCCGCGGUAAUACAGAGGUCUCAAGCGUUGUUCGGAUUCAUUGGGCGUAAAGGGUGCGUAGGCGGCGAAGUAAGUCGGAUGUGAAAUCCCGGGGCUCAACCCCGGAACUGCAUUCGAUACUGCUUCGCUUGAGGACUGGAGAGGAGACUGGAAUUCACGGUGUAGCAGUGAAAUGCGUAGAUAUCGUGAGGAAGACCGGUGGCGAAGGCGGGUCUCUGGACAGUUCCUGACGCUGAGGCACGAAGGCCAGGGGAGCGAACGGGAUUAGAUACCCCUGUAGUCC
rnacentral:rRNA from 1 species